CUCUGAUUAAGCUUAUUUGAAGAAUUCCUUAAAUUGUCAAAAAAAAUUUCUAUUAUAUUUAAAAAAGAAUAUAACUCAUUUGACCAAUGAUUCAGAUUGACCGCAUCAAAAAAUCCAGACCACAUAACAUGCCAAAUUAUUUGACAAGGAUACAUGGCCAUAUAGGUCUUUUACCAAAUAAUCUGGUGUACUGAUUUGACCAUUACAUGCAUAGUCUUCAAGGAAGAAAAUAUUAAACAAAUUAAACCUUUCUUCUUGUUUCUCAAGUUUGAAAGCUUCACCGCUUUUGACGACUUUAGUCAGCGUGCCGUGCUAAGAAAUGCAUUUAAUGGAGAAAUACAGGGUAAUGUAUUGUUAGAAAUAAAUGGUUUAAGCAUCCCUGCUGCCGUACUCCAUGACAUUACAUUUUGGAAAAUGCUAGGGAGACCAACUUUAGAUACCAACUUGUGUACCAACUCUCUAAUAGAGGUGGAGCCCUAUCUAAAGUUGGUCUCCCUAGCAUCACCCUUACAUUUUACACCUACGUCACUGCUGCCGUAAUCCACGUCAAGCUCAUUUUGCAGAAGAUUAAUUGUGGGGGCAUGGUCCCCCAAUAUAAUAGCCAUUGUGCACACACAUCACAUGCAUUAUUGUAAAAGACAGGAAAGCAGCAACUAAUG
rnacentral:lncRNA from 1 species